GACGGACGCUGGCGGCGUGCUUAACACAUGCAAGUCGAGCGGUAAGGCCCUUUCGGGGGUACACGAGCGGCGAACGGGUGAGUAACACGUGGGUGACCUGCCCUUAGCUCUGGGAUAAGCCUGGGAAACUGGGUCUAAUACCGGAUAUGACUCCAUGACGCAUGUUGUGGGGUGGAAAGCCUUGUGCGGCUAGGGAUGGGCCCGCGGCCUAUCAGCUUGUUGGUGGGGUGAUGGCCACCAAGGCGACGACGGGUAGCCGGCCUGAGAGGGCGACCGGCCACACUGGGACUGAGACACGGCCCAGACUCCUACGGGAGGCAGCAGUGGGGAAUCUUGCGCAAUGGGCGAAAGCCUGACGCAGCGACGCCGCGUGGGGAUGACGGCC
rnacentral:rRNA from 1 species